GACGAACGCUGGCGGCGCGCCUAACACAUGCAAGUCGAACGGGGAUAGAUGGAAGCUUGCUUCUAUCUAUUCUAGUGGCGAACGGGUGAGUAACACGUGAGCAACCUGCCCUUCAGAGGGGGACAACGUUUGGAAACGAACGCUAAUACCGCAUAACAUCCAGAUGUGGCAUCGCAUCUGGAUCAAAGGAGAAAUCCGCUGAGGGAUGGGCUCGCGACCGAUUAGAUAGUUGGUGAGGUAACGGCUCACCAAGUCGACGAUCGGUAGCCGGACUGAGAGGUUGAACGGCCACAUUGGGACUGAGACACGGCCCAGACUCCUACGGGAGGCAGCAGUGGGGGAUAUUGCACAAUGGGCGAAAGCCUGAUGCAGCGACGCCGCGUGAGGGAAGAAGGUUUUCGGAUUGUAAACCUCUGUCUUUGGGGAAGAGAAGAAGACGGUACCCAAGGAGGAAGCCACGGCUAACUACGUGCCAGCAGCCGCAG
rnacentral:rRNA from 1 species